rnacentral:rRNA from 1 species
GUAACACGUAGUCAACAUGCCCAGGGGACGUGGAUAACCUCGGGAAACUGAGGAUAAACCGCGAUAAGCCAUGAUUUCUGGAAUGAUUCAUGACUAAAACCUAUAUGGCCCCUGGAUUGGACUGCGGCCGAUCAGGCUGUUGGUGAGGUAAUGGCCCACCAAACCUAUUACCGGUACGGGCUCUGAGAGGAGGAGCCCGGAGAUGGGCACUGAGACAAGGGCCCAGGCCCUAUGGGGCGCAGCAGGCGCGAAACCUCUGCAAUAGGCGAAAGCUUGACAGGGUUACUCUGAGUGAUUUCCGCUAAGGGAAUCUUUUGGCACCUCUAAAAAUGGUGCAGAAUAAGGGGUGGGCAAGUCUGGUGUCAGCCGCCGCGGUAAUACCAGCACCCCGAGUGGUCGGGACGAUUAUUGGGCCUAAAGCAUCCGUAGCCGGUCCUGCAAGUCUUCCGUUAAAUCCAGCUGCUUAACAGAUGGGCCGCGGGAGAUACUACAGGGCU